rnacentral:rRNA from 1 species
AUUGAACGCUGGCGGCAGGCCUAACACAUGCAAGUCGAGCGAGCGGCGGACGGGUGAGUAAUGUCUGGGAAACUGCCUGAUGGAGGGGGAUAACUACUGGAAACGGUAGCUAAUACCGCAUACCAUCAGAUGUGCCCAGAUGGGGUUGGCUAGUAGGUGGGGUAACGGCUCACCUAGGCGCCGAUCCCUAGCUGGUCUGAGAGGAUGACCAGCCACACGGGAACUGAGACACGGUCCAGACUCCUACGGGAGGCAGCAGUGGGGAAUAUUGGACAAUGGGGGCAAGCCUGAUGCAGCCAUGCCGCGUGUGUGAAGAAGGCCUUCGGGUUGUAAAGCACGUUCAGCGGGGAGGCGGUACCCGCAGAAGAAGCACCGGCUAACUACGUGCCAGCAGCCGCGGUAAUUC